rnacentral:lncRNA from 1 species
UGAAAUAAAAAUAUAAAAUAGUAGUAUAAAAUAAUAUCAAAAAUAUUAUAAUAAAAUGGAAAAAAUAAGGGAGAUGAAAGAUUAAAGAAGAUAAAAAAGAGAGAAUAGAAAAGAUGGGAGGUUAAAGAAGAAAUGUGCGAUAAAAACAUAAAUGAAAAAGAGAAAAUAGCAUAAAAACGAGAAAAAUAAAUAAAGAACAUAAGAAAAUAGAUGUUAGAAUAGAAGAGGUGAAAUGUACAUGGUAAAGAA